CCCAGACUCCUACGGGAGGCAGCAGUGGGGGAUAUUGCACAAUGGGGGGAACCCUGAUGCAGCGACGCCGCGUGGGUGAAGGAGUGCUUCGGCAUGUAAAGCCCUAUCGGCAGGGAAGAAGCAAGACGGUACCUGACUAAGAAGCCCCGGCUAACUACGUGCCAGCAGCCGCGGUAAUACGUAGGGGGCGAGCGUUAUCCGGAUUCACUGGGUGUAAAGGGAGCGUAGACGGCCAUGCAAGCUCGGUGUGAAAGGUGCGGGCACAACCCGCAGACUGCACUGAGAACUGUAUGGCUGGAGUGCCGGAGGGGCAGGCGGAAUUCCUGGUGUAGCGGUGAAAUGCGUAGAUAUCAGGAGGAACACCGGUGGCGAAGGCGGCCUGCUGGACGGCGACUGACGUCGAGGCUCGAAAGCGUGGGGAGCGAACAGGAUUAGAUACCCGUGUA
rnacentral:rRNA from 1 species